GUGUGGAAGGAUUGGGGCGUUUCCUUGAGGUUUGUGUCAAAGAGCUGACUGUUACAUUUAUUUCUUUAUGAGAGAACUUGCAUAGCAUUCAGAGCUUCUAUAAAUAUUUUGACAGAGAAAUAUGUUACAAUUCAGCACAACAUUUCUAGCACAGGAAAUCCUAAAGUGUAUUGUGGAAAGAGAUGAUGCCUAAUCAUCUUUAGAUUGAUGUGUAUGUUUUUUUUCAGACUUUAGUAUUUCAAGUAAAUGGUUCUGAUUAGUAUUUGAUCUCUGAUUUUAACUUGAUAAUUUGCCUCCUUGUGUAGGGUUGGUUUGUUCUUUUUUAAUUAGUUUAACGGAGUGGGAAAAUGUGAACUUUUCCACUGCGGUAGCAAUGGAAUGCUACUACCGAAUAUGAAUAAAAUACUAAGUACAAAUGUAUUUUCUAUACUGAUGUACUUGAGAGCUAAUCUUCUGUUAAAUCCCGUUGAGUUUCCUGGCUUCCUAAACUGCUGUAGUUCCUAUAAUAGAGGUGGCAAUCAGGGAGAUGCUAAGCAUGCCAAAGCAUGCCUCAGGUUUGUAGGAGACUCUUGCCUGUAAAUGUCUCCCGACACUUGCUCUCUCUGUUUGUGGUGUUUGUGUUCUUCACGUCUAUUUUAUUUCCAGAGCAAUGGUCACACACUUGUUGGUGUUUUCAAUUGCACUAGAACUCCCGGUGGAAGUCAAGGCCUUAGAUCCAGGAUCCUGGAACCUCUAGUGGAUGCUGAAGCCAUUAACACAAGACUGGGCUGCUGUGAAGGAAUUACUCCAAGAUGAGGAGCUCUUUUUGGUCUUCAAGCAGUGAUCUCAAAAUUCCUGGAUCCAGAACAACUACUUUGAGUUUUGGUACAGAUUCCAAAGCAGGAUGCAGUAUGUUUCAAAAGACACCUUGGAAAAAAUCCAUUAUUUGUCUAUAACAUGCCAUAUAUAAUGUAGGUCAUACAAAAUGCUGAUGAUAAGUCACUCAUCAUUAGGGACGAGCUUGGCAGAGGUACCAGUGCCAAAGAAGGGAUUGGCAUUUGUCAUUCUGCCUGUGAGCAUCUGUUGA